rnacentral:misc_RNA from 1 species
UGUUUCAGUCAAUGGUCUUAAAGCGAAAAGCUUCGACCAACACCUUAAGAAGCUUUCGCUUAACUUUUGGAGCAAAAAUCGGGUGAUUUUAGUGGGACUUUUACUGGAAGGUAGAUGAAGUUAUUGUAUAACUAUUUAAUAGGCUACUUUUCAUAUCAACCAAAUUCGUCAAACCUUCCGAAAAUUCCAAAUUAAUAAUAAUACAAUCGCUUGCAUUUAGGCGCCAAAAUGAAAGCUGUCAAAUACGCAUUGAUAGGCAUAACGAUGGCGGCCAUUUUGCCGGAAGUGACGUCAUGGAUCGUCGAUAUGACGGAAGUGGAGAAGUUAUUGGGCAACGAUCAAGCCGACGAAGAGGCCAACUACGACGAUGAGAUAUGGCCCAGUGUUGCCAGUGAUGACAACGAAGUGAUGUACACUGCCAAUUAUGCGGAGAAUUUUAAUUAUGAGACUUAUAAAAAGAAAGAGGUUGACAGUAUAAUCAGAAAUGGCGGCGCGUACUUGGAAGGGUUGAGUAACGCAAUGGCUGCUUACAGGGACACUCUAGAAGACUGCAACAGAAACUCAUCAAAAACAUCAAUCGUCAGUGAUACUAAUGGAGAAGUAAAAACGAGAUGCGAGAAAGCAGAAAAGAAGAAAGAUUACGUUCAAAAACUGUCGGAAAUGGCUCUUCUUACCACAGACAAAAUGAGAGACAAAGAUUAUGACGACAUAAACCAGGAGCGCAACGAAGACGGAGACUUGAUCAGGCUGGCGUGGACUUUGGACCGGCUGGCGGCGCUCACUGGCUACAGCAGCGUGCUUGGGGACACGGUCUCAAGCAACGGUGUACAAGGUAAAGGCGUGAUCACGCUUGCAGAUAAAGUGUAUAACUUUGCAGAGAUUGAGCAGAGCGCUUGAUCAGAAUGGCGGCGCUCACUGGCUACAGCAGCGCGCGUGGGGACACGGUCUCAAGCAACGGUGUACAAGACAAUAAUCCGAAAUCGUCGACAGAAGUGAACAUGGCGACCGAAGACAAUAGACAAUUGGAAAUCCUAGAGCAGGUAGAAAA